rnacentral:rRNA from 1 species
UACGGGGGGGGCAAGCGUUGUUCGGAAUUACUGGGCGUAAAGGGCUCGUAGGCGGCCAACUAAGUCAGACGUGAAAUCCCUCGGCUUAACCGGGGAACUGCGUCUGAUACUGGAUGGCUGGAGGUUGGGAGAGGGAUGCGGAAUUCCAGGUGUAGCGGUGAAAUGCGUAGAUAUCUGGAGGAACACCGGUGGCGAAGGCGGCAUCCCGGACCAAUUCUGACGCUGAGGAGCGAAAGCCAGGGGAGCAAACGGG